rnacentral:lncRNA from 1 species
UGAAUAAUUAGAUAUGGAGGGAGAAGAAAAAGGAAACAUACUGAUGAACUUGUUUUUCUGUCCUGGCAAACUGGAUUAUGGGAGCACCUUUGAACAGGAUGGAGGGGAGCCAUGUUUGGAGCCACCAUGGUGUGAAGCUGAGGCUAGACAACUGAAAAGUGAGACCACUUGGAAAGAGAAAAGCAACAUGGAAGAGAACCAGGGUUCCCCAGCCAACAGUCCAUGCCACAACCCAGACACCUAGGGAGGUUCUCUUUAAUGCUCCAGCCCAAAACAAGCUUCCAGCCACGAGAGCGGUCUCAAACAACCAGUAUACUGAUAGAUUCACCCACAGGAAGAGCAAAUCAGAGAUUUGAAGCAUGAGAAGGAUUUGAUGCACUGU